CACAAAACGAAGUGAGCCACCAGUUGAACUGCGUCACGUUUUAAAGGGAAAGCAGCCCGCAAUUAUCACGACGGCAACGAGCAACAGCGCCCCCAACAGGCGGUGUCCAUGUCUGCACUCACAGCUGAAUAAAAGGUUCGUAGUGUGCCAGUGGAAGUGGGAUAAGGCCAGUCUCUUCAGUCGGCUCCGGGGUCUCCAUGGUAUCUGUGGACUUCAGAGGAGGAGAUAUAUCGAACACACCUGGGAAGCUGCAGAGACAUCGUCCCAUUCGCUCUGGAUGAAGAGCAGCGACGAGUAGCAUGGUACGCUAUCUAGACACAGGUCGGGGACUGAUCAUCUCCUGGCUGGGUCACCUGAUGACCCCUGGACACAUCACUGACGAUAUAACCAGGUGGCACCUCAAGGUGCAUUAUAGAAUACUUUUUCUUUUUUUUUUAAAGAAAAAAGGUCAAAAUAUGAAGCAGCAGAGGUUGAGCGAUCCCCUAAUCUCUAGUAUGUGUCAAGCUUCUGAAAAGCUUUGGCCUACAGCUCCCAAAAUGCAACCCUCUGUGUCCAUCAUAAGUCACAGUGUUUUGUCAAUUUUUUUUAAGAAAGAAUUGUUAAGCUUGACAGAAAAAAGCUGUUUUGAAAAAGAUUCACAUUCAUUCAGACUAAAUGAAUAUGGAUAGAUCCGAUGGGCCAGUACAUUGACAGUGAGGUCAGUAUUGGUCACGUUUUCCACAAAUCUCUAUGUUUUUGUUGUUCGAUUUUCUGCCACAUGGGUGCACUGUUUGGUUUUUCAUCCCACUGUCAGGUUAUACUCCCCAGUACUCUCUUCUGACCUCCAGUCAAUGCACCAUAACGUGAAAGUUUGAUUAACAACAUGUCACACGAAAGCCUUUCAAGAGCUUAAUUAUUUCUCAACUUGCUGCAUAUUACAAAUUUAAUUGUGCUAAUUAUGAAAGUAAACAUGUGGGCAGGCAAUAUUCCAGCAUAGAAAAACUGUCCACGAUGCACAGAGUGAGAACAACAGGGCGUUAAUAAAAGCCCAGCAGCUCUAACCUGAGCAGGUUAUUGCAGGUUUACUUACAGUUAACCAACUCUCCCGUAUGAACCAAAAGACCUGUGAAUACCUAAGUCCAGGACACACAUUCAGACCAUCAAUGAAAGGAACAAAAUACAUGGAAUGAGUUUUCACAGACUUUUUAUUAAUGUUUUUUUGCACACAGAAAUGUUUCCCCUCUCUGACAAUGGGGAUGCACAGCAGUCGCGUUUGAUCAUGACGACGAUGCGAGUGUGUGACUCAGACAACAGUGACUCACCACCCAGUAUGCAACAGAGAUUACAGCUUGUACCCUCUCACCGCUGAUGCACAGCCCACUCCUCUGUUUACACCAGCGGAGAUGAUACAGCUCUGCACAUUAUACAGAACCAUAUGCGGCCCCUAUGUGGGGGAUCACAGAACAGAUAACAGAAGAGAUGGAAAAAAGAAAAAAAAAGAGAAACGAAUAAAAGAAAAGAGUUUAUUCAUUGAUCUUGUAGGAACAGAGAUGAGCCCACAGUCUUUACACUGCAGGAAACAUACAGUCUGUCUGAGGUUACUACAGCUAAAUCUCUUUUAAUCAUCCUCGGAGUAAGUAUGGGGGCAGUGAUGCUGCAGCAUGGAUACGACCACCUCACUCAACAGGUUUGUUUGGUCACAGUGGUUGCUAUGCUACUGCAUGAAGACGAACACAUGUAAAGACUAAUCACUUUAAUAUUAUAGUGGGGGUACUAAAGAUACUGUAUCUAUCAUUUGAGGUAUUAAUAAGUUUGUCUUUAGUCAUGUAAGUGCUGUUAAUGUUAACAUCAAUGCAGUAUUAACACUCUAUGAAUUGUUUUAUAUAGAAUUACUCCUACUGGAAAUAAAGUGUUGUGUAUGCA